rnacentral:rRNA from 1 species
AGGACUAACGCUGGCGGCGUGCCUAACACAUGCAAGUCGAACGAGGUAGCAAUACCUAGUGGCAGACGGGUGAGUAACGCGUAGAUAAUGUGCCCUCUUGCGGGGGAUACCGUUUCGAAAGGAACGUUAAUACCGCAUAAUACGGCCUAGGGGAUUCCUUAAGCCGUCAAACUUCCGGGGCGGGAGGAGCAGUCUGCGUUCUAUCAGCUAGUUGGUGAGGUAAUGGCUCACCAAGGCUACGACGGAUAACUGGUCUGAGAGGAUGAUCAGUCACACUGGAACUGAGACACGGUCCAGACUCCUACGGGAGGCAGCAGUGAGGAAUAUUGCGCAAUGGGGGAAACCCUGACGCAGCGACGCCGCGUGGAGGAAGAAGGUUUUCGGAUUGUAAACUCCUGUCAGUGGGGAAGAGAAUGGACGGUACCACUGAGGAAGCUUCGGCUAACUACGUGCCAGCAGCCGC